CAGAGGAGUACUUUCUCAAUCUGUGCUCCAUCGUCACGCUGGAGUUAUCUCAACAAGUAAAAACUGAGCAGAAGCCUCCACAGGUCGAGAGGCGACGCUCUCUGCUUCUUCUUCUUAUUGCCUGAGACUCUCAGUCUCUUGCAAAAUGCCUGCCUGCCCGCGGGCUGCGAUGUCAGCAGCUGUCAGUCAGCAGAGAAAGAAGACCCGGCCCGGCUCUGUGCUGUGUGAAG